rnacentral:rRNA from 1 species
AACGAACGCUGGCGGCAUGCCUAACACAUGCAAGUCGAACGAGACCUUCGGGUCUAGUUGCGCACGGGUGCGUAACGCGUGGGAACCUGCCCUUAGGUUCGGAAUAACUCCCCUAAAGGGGUGCUAAUACCGGUUAAUGUCUUCGGACCAAAGAUUUAUCGCCUUUGGAUGGGCCCGAGUUGGAUUAGCUAGUUGGUAGGGUAAAAGCCUACCAAGGCGACGAUCCAUAGCUGGUCUGAGAGGAUGAUAAGCCACACUGGGACUGAGACACGGCACAGACUGCUACGGGAGGAAGCAGUGGGGAAUAUUGGAAAAUGGGCGAAAGGCUGAACAAGCAAUGACGCGUGAGUGAUGAAGGCCUUAGGGUUGUAAAGCUCUUUUAACCGGGAUGAUAAUGACAGUACCGGGAGAAUAAGCUCCGGCUAACUCCGUG